CCUAUUGAAUGUAAGUAUCUGGGCUAUUAAGUUUAUACUGAAAUAUUUUCUAUGUAUGUAAUAUUUCAACAAACACAUAUUGUAUUAAUUAAUGGUCAAAUACUAAAUUGAGAUUUUAUAAAAAAAUUUAAUAAGCUGUAAAGCUUGUCAAUUUGUUUACUUUAUUACAACUACAAUUUUUCAGCCCUUUUCCAGAAUUUGAACUAAUUUGAUCAUAAAGAUUGAUCUAUUUAUAAUUUAUCGAUUACAAUUUUUAGACAAUUAAAGCUGGUUAAAGGAACUUUUAUUUUGGAAAAAGAACUGCUGCUGUUUCAAGACAUGCGCACUAGCUGCGACAUCUAGUGACGACAUUUACCGGGCUUUAACGGUUGUUGCUGCAUGAAGUCUGCUGCAAUUUCUCUGAGAUUUCUUAAGAUCAUCAGUUUGGACAGAAUUCAUUUGAAGAAUUAAUAGCACUAGCAGGUUCCAAUAAAGGCUGGAACAGAACAGAAAGAAAAG